AUUGAACGCUGGCGGCAUGCCUUACACAUGCAAGUCGAACGGCAGCACGGGUGCUUGCACCUGGUGGCGAGUGGCGAACGGGUGAGUAAUACAUCGGAACAUUUCCUGUAGUGGGGGAUAGCCCGGCGAAAGCCGGAUUAAUACCGCAUACGAUCUACGGAUGACAGCGGGGGACCUUCGGGCCUCGCGCUAUAGGGUUGGCCGAUGGGUGAUUAGCUAGUUGGGGGGGUAAAGGCCUACCAAGGCGACGAUCAGUAGCUGGUCUGAGAGGACGACCAGCCACACUGGGACUGAGACACGGCCCAGACUCCUACGGGAGGCAGCAGUGGGGAAUUUUGGACAAUGGGCGAAAGCCUGAUCCAGCAAUGCCGCGUGUGUGAAGAAGGCCUUCGGGUUGUAAAGCACUUUUGUCCGGAAAGAAAUCCUUGGCCCUAAUACGGUCGGGGGAUGACGGUACCGGAAGAAUAAGCACCGGCUAACUACGUG
rnacentral:rRNA from 1 species